GAUGAACGCUGGCGGCGUGCCUAAUACAUGCAAGUCGAGCGAACGGACGAGAAGCUUGCUUCUCUGAUGUUAGCGGCGGACGGGUGAGUAACACGUGGAUAACCUACCUAUAAGGCUGGGAUAACUUCGGGAAACCGGAGCUAAUACCGGAUAAUAUUUUGAACCGCAUGGUUCAAAAGUGAAAGACGGUCUUGCUGUCACUUAUAGAUGGAUCCGCGCUGCAUUAGCUAGUUGGUAAGGUAACGGCUUACCAAGGCAACGAUGCAUAGCCGACCUGAGAGGGUGAUCGGCCACACUGGAACUGAGACACGGUCCAGACUCCUACGGGAGGCAGCAGUAGGGAAUCUUCCGCAAUGGGCGAAAGCCUGACGGAGCAACGCCGCGUGAGUGAUGAAGGUCUUCGGAUCGUAAAACUCUGUUAUUAGGGAAGAACAUAUGUGUAAGUAACUGUGCACAUCUUGACGGUACCUAAUCAGAAAGCCACGGCUAACUACGCG
rnacentral:rRNA from 1 species